GAACUCCAAUGGUGUCUGUGUCAGCACGCCCACACCAGGCCACAACAAUUGCUGCCGCCAAUGUCCCAGUCCCUAGAGAGGUCUCACCUCUCACCGAGAUGUGCUCAGAGCCUAUCAGUUGCCUUGAAGAUGUUUGACAACAAAAAGAAGGCCAGAGGACAGUGAGAGGCCAAGAGCAAACUUGACCACGAGAGCUUCUACAGCACCAACACAAAGCCUUUCAGGAGAAAUAGCUAAUGGCGUAGAGGCAUUUUCUGUCUGUGGAAAAGCACUCAGAUCGUCCAUAGGGAGUCAGAAAUUCUGAAGAGUUAAUACCUCUGGAGCAACCCUCAACAAACGAGAGAUUGGUGUAAUAUAUGAGGUUAACCCAUCCAACCAUGAUUUCAUGGUCACUAUUGCUCAGGAGGAGGCAUUACCACGGGAACAGCUUCCUCAGAAUGACACAAAUGGAGAAGACCAAAUCCGUCUAGAACUCCAGCUGAGAGGAGGAUGCCAGAUUUCACCCUCAAUAGAAAUUCUAAUAGUAGGUUCUAUCAUGUAAAAAAUGUGUGUCUAACAACAUGGCAUGGUAAAAGAACAAGUUCAUUGUCAAUGCUACUUUCCCUAAUUUUAUUAUUUUUGCCAAUUUUGAUUGAUUGAUUAAAUUAUCUGUAGGCUCAAAUAAGUGCCAGCCAGGCCAUGUUUUCACUAAGUUUUCCCAUACAGCCUCAAAAAAAAAUGAAUGAUCAGUUUUAAUGACUCCAUCUUAUAAUUAAAAUCAACAACAACAAUAAUGUGAAAAAACUCAAGAUAUUAGAAGAGAAAUGAAGUAUCAGUUAUUUUCCAUUGACUCAGAGUUACAAGUUUAUCACAUAACCAGCUGUAUUCCACUCAAAUAAUUAAGACUUAGCUUCUGGCACUGGAAAACUAAUUACACUCCUUUUUUACACUUUAUAAGUCCCAUUAAUCAUAAUGUUUAAUUUUGCACCACAACAUUUUGUCUGAUACAAGAAAAUAAAAUGUAGCUUUCCUUAGUGGGAAAAUAACAUAGGGCUAUUAUUGGUAAAUCAAACGUUACUAGUCUAUACAUUCACAUUGUUGGAUUAUUUCACUGUUUUGGUCACUUGAGGUUCAUGUUUAAAACGUUGCAUCUUUCUUUUCAGGUACAUUCCUUUAUUAAAGUUAGAAUGUAACCAUAAUUCAAAAGUGAGCCGGAGCAACACUUGAGACAGGUACACCCAUUUCAAACCAAACAAUUCUGCUCACGUUGGUCUCUAUAGGAUCAUUCUUGCAUUUCAAAAUAAGACAACCCAAGGCCUUUGAAACAUUGUUGAGAGAGAAUGACAGCCAAACUUUUAAAAUCUCUAUGAAGGAGACGGAGUAUGUAGUUUGCGCUAUUUGAGUGUCCUAUAGAUAUGAUAGAUAGAAUCAUGGAAAGUUAUUGAGGAGUUUCAGAAUACUUUUAGUGAAAAUCUAUGAAUAUUUUUAUUUUUGGCACCUUUUAUUAUUUUUCGUAUUCACUACUUCAGAAAAUAUUUAUAAAUAUACUAAAUAAAAAUUUUUAUUACUGAAAGAUGCGCUAUUGAGGAUCAUAGUGUCUCCAGGUUGGAGAACACAUAAAAGGCUAUAUUAUAAGACUCUCCUUCAUUCUUCUAUUCCAGUCAGCAAACUACACAGCCAGAAGACCAAAUCCAGGAUGCCACUCUUUUAGUAAAGUUUAUGGGAACACAGCCACGCAUGUUUAUUUGUGUAUUGUCUCGGGCUGCUUUUGCACUACAAUGGCAGAGGUGAGCAGUUGCAAGGAGACUGAAGUCCUGCAAAGCCUAAAGUAUUUACUAUCUUUCCUUUUACAGAACACGUUCACUGAAUCCUGCUACAUUCAAUAAUAUUUAGUAUGCAAGCUUGCUGUGUAGUGGAAAUGUACACCGUGCAGUGUAUAUAAUGAGAAAAUUGGAUUUUUUGAGAAUUUAAGUGGUUGCUUAUAAUCAUAUAGUUCACUAGAUACAAUUCUAGUAUUCAACUGAUAUUGCAUAGUUAUGAAGUCAAUGUUUUUCCUUUACUACAGGAAUGUGAGAUCUGCCUCAUUAAGCUCUGCAAACUAGACAUCAGCUAAAAAUAGAGCACUUAUAAAAAAGUAGCCAUUAGCUAUUUUAUAAAGUUAAUAUUUUCCUAUGUAUACAGGUCAUUGUAUAUAUUUCACAUAAUGAAGUAUAUUUUCAGGAUUUGGAUUUUGGCUACAUGAUAAUCCUUAUUAUGUUCUUAGUUGAGAGAAGCAGCCAGAAGGUCAUCUCAUCCAACACCGUAACGUCAAAGCUUCUUGACUACCACCUUCUGCCCUUGGCCACUUAUUAUCAGUAGUCAAUCUGUCGUCACUCAUGGACGCUCACUUGUAAAACGGCAAAAUUAUAAAUUUCUCUCUGAGCUCUUAUUUUUCCACUACUCCAGAUUUAUUCCUUAAAAACUGAUCUUUGUGUAUCAAAAAAUACAUAUUCCUUUUGAUUCAGAAAUUUACUUCAAGACAGUUAUACUGUAAGUUAUUCUGGCACUUGUCUACACAAAUACAUUUUAUUUUGUAAUAGGAAAAAAAUCAGCCAAUUACCUAAAUGCCGAUAGAAGAGAUAAGUCUUGGUCUAUCCAACUACUAAAUUAAUGUUAGCUUUUUAUGAAGUUAUAUCUAUAACACAUACUACGAAAUGAAGAGAGCAACGUGCAUAAGUGUGAGUAGAUUCUUCUUCUCAAUCCCCUUCUCCUCAGUGUUAUUGUCCAUUUGUCUUCCUCUGUUUAGCUUAAUUGCAUUGCUAUGCACCAGGUGUCCAAGACAGAGACUGAGUCUCCUUUGCAAUUCUUUAUCCCUUAUCUAUUAUUGGUCAGGAAGUUUGGUACAUAUUAUCUCCACAAUGACUCUCCAAGUCUAUCUUUUCUGCCUUGUCCCAGCUGUCACAGCUCUAGGUCAAGCUCCUUUUUCUCUUUACUGAAUUUCUGAACUCCUACAAUAAACUCCCGACCCCUAUCCUAGGAAGCAGUAUUUUCCUCCAGUCUUGCAAUAAAAUCUCCCCAUUGCCUUCAAGCAAUAUUUCCAAAGAGACACUUGAUUAUGUCAAUCUCCUUUUUCGAAAAUUCGAAUGACUCCAUUGCUCACAUGAUGAAGCAACAGCUGACCUGGCAACAGCUGCCCUCUUUAGUAGGGGUCAGAAAUCCCAUAUGCCUACAGGAGGAGAUGGAAAUUUAAAAAAUGAGCCUAGUGGAGUGCAUGACCCAUUUCAUUUGGACAGUUGCCCCUCAGCUUUAGCCAAUCUUUGUCAUCUGAGGGUGUGUGUCCAAUCUCUGCCUUUAUCAUCACCAGUAGCUCCCAUUAUUAAAUAUGCAAGAUCAGCUCUAAUAUCACUUUCCUUUCAUAGCUGUCUCUGGCCAACCCUUCCCCUAUCUCCUGCCCCAGUUCAAAUUAAAUUAAAUGCUUCCUCAUCUGUGUACAGAACACUCCACAUAUAUGCUUAUGAUGCUCUUUACCACCGUGUAUUUUAGUUUUCAUUUGACACAUCUGUCUUUCUUCCUAAAAUGUGAUCUCCAUGAGGGUAGGAAGCAUGACAUUUAUGUUGUGUAAUUCUCAAGGCUGAGGUCCUGCAUUUAUUAGAAGUGAAUUAACAUUUGAAGCAUAGAAAAGUAAGAAUAUGAACGAAGCAGUUCAUGAGCUGAAAAGAAAGGCAUAUGAUUAGUUCAGUCUUAACAUCAAGGGGGAUAGUAAAUGCUUCACUGAAGAGAUAAUUUUCAAGUGAAUCUUGAAGAGCCAAUAGGAAUUUCCAGAUAGAAGAUGAAGGCGUGAAGGAUGGGGGGAAAGUGAGAGAAAGGGAUUCUGUACUCAGGAAACAAGCAUUUGCAGACUCACACGAAUAUGGCCUGUGCUGGGAAUGAAAGGCUGUCAACAACGGUGAAUUGCAUGGGAUUAGGAAGGGUAGGAAUUAGUCAGGGACGUGGACUGUAGACUGAGUUCAAAGUGAUAGACACAUUCUAACUGUCAAUGUAAAGUCUUGGGAUUUCAUCUUAUGGGAUGUGGGAAGUCAGGGAUAUUUUUUAAGUGGAAUAUUGACAUGAUUCAUCUUAAAACUGUUACUUAUUGAAAAUAUAGGCCUUUCAGCUAUGUAGAGAGUAGCUUGGAAGACAGAAGGACUGGUUGGAGAGAGGAUACAGCUGAGGAAGUUGCUGAAAAUAUAUAAGGCACAAAGGAUGAGGCACUGAGUUUGAAGAGAGAGAGAUUGGAGAGCCACAGAUGGCAGACAUAUAGAACUUGGAGUUUGUGAAUUCUGCUGUCUUGCCAAAGCAGACAAGACUUUGCCAGACUUUUUUUCUGGCUAGAAAUCUCACUGCUCCACUCACAUGCUCACUUCCUACUUACUCUUCAACACACAGAGCCAUUUCACUUCUGAGAGGAAGUGCUCUUUGACAGACCCCACACCUGACCCUCAGGCUACGUCAGGUACCACCAGUCCUCUGUAUCCUCCUAGCCCUUCUGCAACAGUCUAGCAGCACAGGCACCUGAGUAUAUAUCUCUGUAAAUCUUUCAUUUUAUACCAGGCUGUGAGGAUUUUGAGGAAAGCGUCUGUGAGUUGUCCUGUAGUAUCUUUUUUUUAACACCAAGCAUUGUAGGCUGCAGUAGAAGUUCACUGAAUUAAUAAACAAAAGGAGGUCUGACAAAGUAAUUGUGGUAAAUCUGGGACUCCAGAUAGUUAAUAUAACUGGAAUUGUUACUUUCUUUUAAAUCUUUCGAGCUUUGACUUCCUUUCUACCCAUUUGCCUCAAUAAUUUGAGAUAAUGUUUUCUGUGAUGAUUAAGUGUACAAAAUGGAUUGUUAAUUUUUAUUUAAUAAAACACAUACUGUGUUUUAAGUGCUACAUCAUCAAAAACCUGAUAUAGAUUCAGCUAUGAAAAUUUAAUUAAAUUUUCUCUCAUAAAAGCUAUCUAAAAAGUAUUCUGUACUUUUUGUAUUAUGUAUCUAUCUGUAGCUGCAUUAUGAGAGCUCACACUGAAAUAGUGCUAAAGAUUUUCAGUCAAUUGAGGUAUAACAGAGAACAAAAUUAAAGUUUAAGAAGGUAAUUCAUUCUUUUAUCAUUGAAUUAAAAUUAUAGAGAAUUUUCAUUUUGCAAACAAUUAGCAGAUACAUCAUAUUCCACAUAUUUCAGCUCAUAUUCU